rnacentral:lncRNA from 1 species
AAUGUGCUGAGGUCAUAUCGACAAGUUUCAACCUUUCUUUUCAGCAUUUAAUAACAGCAGUGUCAAUUGAGUAGCAUGUUCAUACUUUUAUAGCUAGAGUUAAAUGUUGUUUAAAUUAAUUUUAUACCUGCAUCAUUUGCAAUAUUUCAUUUUUGUGAUCUGCCAGUAAAUACACUGUAUUUGGUUCUUAAUUUUAAACAAUUUACAGAUAAAAGCCCAAUUCGAAAUCACAGUGAUGCAUGACAUCUACAGUUACUGUACUUCAAACAACUAAGUGAACACAUAUUCUGGACAAUUUGCUGAUAAUAUGGUGACUGGUGAUAAAACUGGAUAAUAUAGGAAGAUCAUGAUAUGCAAGUAUCAUCAUGAGGGCAAUACAACUAUCAGACAAAAGUUUUAGUGGUGGAAAUUUCUGCUGUCCGGAGGGGGAGGGGAGACAAAAUUGUUUCUGAUAAUAGUAAAUGUAUUAGGACAUCACAAGGGGGUAGGGGGGUUAACUUCCAAUUUCCUCCGUGGGGGUGGUAUGAAUGUUUUCAUACAUAUAAAUUCCGAUGCUUUUAGAUCUUAUAAAUUACAAUAAAUAAAAACUGUUUAGAAAUCUAGCAUUAAAUAUUAUAUUAAUGAAGAACUUUGAAUUUAACCCAUUGAGCCGCAAUGCGCCCCAUUGCGCCCAACCUUUUUUUACUUGUCUAACGCCAGUCGCCAGACGAUUUUACUCGUUAGUGGGGAAGCUCUGCAGCUUAAUGGGUUAAAGGUUUUAUGAAAGGUUUCAAGAAAAGCUAAUAACUUGUAAACCAGACACCAGAAUAUAUUUGUAACAAGAAACCCAUGUAAUGAAAUCUUAGUGAAUUACAUAUUAGUGAAAUUAGUGAAUUACAUAUUAGUGAAAUUUUGAAAAACAAUAAAAGUGGCAUCAUUAGUUGCUGCAUAUAUGUUUAUUAUUAAAGCAAAACAUUUAUUAAUUAAAUUGUGACUCAAUAAUAUUGUUGGCUGCACCAUUGCUGGCAAGUACCAACCAUUGCUUUUAAAUCGAGUGAUUGUAGCCAUUUCUUGGCAUUGUAAGAAAGAUACUCAUCUGUUUUAUUUUGAACAUUCUUCUAUUGUAAUUAUUAAUUUUGUAUCACAAUGAAUGUUUGUGAUGAAUGUUCAUGACAAUGUGAACUCCAGCUGUAUUCGACAGGCUGAAUAGUGAAUAGGCUAGCCACAUGUACGCAGUGCGUACCUAUUUUUCGGGAAUAUUGUGUAAUCUAGUGAAAUAUGACACCGCUUGCCAUCUAAAGGUCGUAAGGGACGGACCAUUUGACUUUUGAGGGUGGAAGAUUUCGAAAAAAAUUUCCUGCAACCCAAGGAGAAAGAAAAAAAAAAUCAUUCAGCACACAAUCGAGAAAAAAAAAUAUCAUGCAAAAGAGAGCGCUCAAAAAAAAUAUUCUACAUGUAACUCUACUGAUGCUCUUCACUUCAGUAUUGUGUCCACAGGCUUGCAAGAUUUUGCAUUUUUGAGCAGGCACAUUUGCUUAAAAGAACACGGGGUGAACAGAGGAUAACAUCACAGGGAUUCUACCGCCUUUGGAGCCUCUGACAUACAGUAAGUGUUCCUUAGGCUUAGUACAGCAAAAUUGUUGUGGAC